rnacentral:rRNA from 1 species
UACGUAGGUGGCAAGCGUUGUCCGGAAUUAUUGGGCGUAAAGCGCGCGCAGGUGGUUUCUUAAGUCUGAUGUGAAAGCCCACGGCUCAACCGUGGAGGGUCAUUGGAAACUGGGGAACUUGAGUGCAGAAGAGAAAAGCGGAAUUCCACGUGUAGCGGUGAAAUGCGUAGAGAUGUGGAGGAACACCAGUGGCGAAGGCGGCUUUUUGGUCUGUAACUGACGCUGAGGCGCGAAAGCGUGGGUAGCAAACAGG